rnacentral:rRNA from 1 species
AACGAACGCUGGCGGCAUGCCUAACACAUGCAAGUCGAACGAGACCUUCGGGUCUAGUGGCGCACGGGUGCGUAACGCGUGGGAACCUGCCCUUAGGUUCGGAAUCACUCCCCGAAAGGGGUGCUAAUACCGGAUAAUGUCUUCGGACCAAAGAUUUAUCGCCUUUGGAUGGGCCCGCGUUGGAUUAGCCAGUUGGUAGGGUAAAAGCCUACCAAGGCGACGAUCCAUAGCUGGUCUGAGAGGAUGAUCAGCCACACUGGGACUGAGACACGGCCCAGACUCCUACGGGAGGCAGCAGUGGGGAAUAUUGGACGAUGGGCGAAAGCCUGAUCAAGCAGUGCCGCGUGAGUGAUGAAGGCCUUAGGAUUGUAAAGCUCUUUUACCCGGGAUGAUAAUGACAGUAACGGGAGAAUAAGCUCCGGCUAACUCCGUG